UACAGAGGGUGCGAGCGUUGUCCGGAAUCACUGGGCGUAAAGGGCGCGUAGGUGGCGACCCAAGUCAAUGGUGAAAGCUCGAUGCUCAACAUCGAGUCGGCCACUGAUACUGGGUUGCUCGAGCACUGUAGAGGCAGAUGGAAUUCCGGGUGUAGCGGUGGAAUGCGUAGAGAUCCGGAAGAACACCGGUGGCGAAGGCGGUCUGCUGGGCAGUUGCUGACACUGAGGCGCGACAGCAUGGGGAGCAAACGGG
rnacentral:rRNA from 1 species